rnacentral:rRNA from 1 species
UGGCCUUCUAAAUUUGAAUUAUUGUCUUGAUGCCAGGUGGAGGACCUUUGCAAUCUUAUCAAGUUGACGCUAAACUGGCACUGUUACUUGAUCCCAUAUUACUCCUUCGAACAAAUUGUGCGCAAAGUUGAGGAAGUUGGGGCCAAUAAUUGUAUUAUAAUA